UACGGAGGGCGCAAGCGUUGUUCGGAAUUACUGGGCGUAAAGCGCGUGUAGGCGGUCUGGUAAGUCGGUUGUGAAAUCCCCGGGCUCAACCCGGGAACUGCGACCGAAACUGCUGGGCUAGAGUUCCGGAGAGGAAGGCAGAAUUCCCAAUGUAGGGGUGAAAUCCGUAGAUAUUGGGAGGAAUACCAGUGGCGAAGGCGGCCUUCGGGACGGUGACUGACGAUGAGACGCGAAAGCGUGGGGAGCAAACAGG
rnacentral:rRNA from 1 species